rnacentral:rRNA from 1 species
AUUGAACGCUGGCGGCAGGCCUAACACAUGCAAGUCGAGCGGAUGAAGGGAGCUUGCUCCUGGAUUCAGCGGCGGACGGGUGAGUAAUGCCUAGGAAUCUGCCUGGUAGUGGGGGAUAACGUCCGGAAACGGGCGCUAAUACCGCAUACGUCCUGAGGGAGAAAGGGGGGGAUCUUCGGACCUCACGCUAUCAGAUGAGCCUAGGUCGGAUUAGCUAGUUGGUAGGGUAAAGGCCUACCAAGGCGACGAUCCGUAACUGGUCUGAGAGGAUGAUCAGUCACACUGGAACUGAGACACGGUCCAGACUCCUACGGGAGGCAGCAGUGGGGAAUAUUGGACAAAGGGCGAAAGCCUGAUCCAGCCAUGCCGCGUGUGUGAAGAAGGUCUUCGGAUUGUAAAGCACUUUAAGUUGGGAGGAAGGGCAGUAAGUUAAUACCUUGCUGUUUUGACGUUACCAACAGAAUAAGCACCGGCUAACUUCGUG